rnacentral:rRNA from 1 species
AGAGCGCACGGCGGAUGCCUUGGCGCUGGGAGGCUAUGAAGGACGUAGCGAGCUACGAUAAGCCACGGGUAGUCGCAAGCAGACAUUGAUCCGUGGAUUUCCGAAUGGGGAAACCUACUGCGGGUUAUACCGCAGUAUCUGUCACUGAAUCCAUAGGUGGCAGAAGCCAACCGGGGGAACUGAAACAUCUUAGUACCCCGAGGAAGAGAAAGAAACCUCGAUUCCCUAAGUAGCGGCGAGCGAACGGGGAAGAGCCUAAACCAUGCUGUUGUAAGGUUACAGCCGUUUUCAGCAUGGGGUUGUGGGAGUCAUAUUUAGAGCGCUGUAACGCUCUAGCGCAGUUACAAACUGCCGGUCUAGCAGAAGCGGCCUGGAAAGGCCCGCCAUAGAAGGUGAAAGCCCUGUAUGCGAAAGGUCGUCAGCUGCGUUUAUGGCCACCCGAGUACUGCGGGGCACGUGAAAUCCCGUAGGAAUCUAGGAGGCCCACCUCCAAAGGCUAAAUACUACCCAGCGACCGAUAGUGAACAAGUACCGUGAGGGAAAGGUGAAAAGCACCCCUGGCGGGGAGUGAAAUAGUACCUGAAACCGUGUGCUUACAAACAGUCAGAGCACUAUUAAUGUGUGAUGGCGUACUUUUUGUAGAACGGACCGGCGAGUUACUCAGUCAAGCGAGGUUAAACACCACAGGUGUGCAGCCGCAGCGAAAGCGAGUCUUAACAGGGCGAUAUUAGUUUGCCUGAGUAGACCCGAAACCGGGUGAUCUACCCAUGGCCAGGGUGAAGCGUAGGUAAGACUACGUGAAGGCCCGAACCCACCAAUGUUAAAAAAUUGGGGGAUGAGUUGUGGGUAGGGGUGAAAUGCCAAUCGAACCCGGAGAUAGCUGGUUCUCCCCGAAAUAGCUUUAGGGCUAGCCUCGGAGCGUAAAUAACGGAGGUAGAGCACUGUUUGAGCUAAGGGCCUUCACAGGUUACUGAACUCAGACAAACUCCGAAUGCCGUAUAUUUGGACUCCGGGAGUCAGACUGCGGGUGCUAAGGUCCGUAGUCGAAAGGGAAACAGCCCAGACCGCCAGCUAAGGUCCCCAAGUGCAGGCUAAGUGGAUAAGGAUGUGGGACUGCCCAGACAACCAGGAUGUUGGCUCAGAAGCAGCCACCAUUUAAAGAGUGCGUAAUAGCUCACUGGUCAAGUGGUCCUGCGCCGAAAAUGUCCGGGGCUCAAGCCUGUCACCGAAGCUGCGGGUUGUGUAGUCAUCAACAAUGUGCUUAACGAGUGUAGCACGCAAGUUGGUGCAAGCAAGACAUUUAAUGUCGAAAACACCCGCAAGAAUUAAAUUUCAAGUUUUCGACUAAAUGUACUAUCGCUAAAGCGUCAACGAGGUAAGCCCAUUGUUGAUGACUACGCAGCGGUAGGGGAGCGUUCCAUUCGCAUUGAAGGUAUACCGUAAGGAGUGCUGGAGCGUAUGGAAGUGAGAAUGCCGGUAUAAGUAACGAAAAGAAGGGUGAGAAUCCCUUCCGCCGAAAACCCAAGGUUUCCUGAGGAAGGCUCGUCCUCUCAGGGUAAGUCGGGACCUAAGCCGAGGGCGAAAGCCGUAGGCGAUGGACAACUGGUUGAGAUUCCAGUACCACCUCUCUUCGUUUGAGCAAUGGGGUGACGCAGUAAGGUAAGCGCAGCGCACCGUUGGUUGUGUGCGUCCAAGUCUUUAGGGAGUAGCCAUAGGCAAAUCCGUGGCUAUGUUAAUCCUGAGGGGCGAUGGGGAGCGAAAUUAAGUAGCGAACUGGCUGAUCCUACACUGCCAAGAAAAACCUCUAGCGAGAAGUAUAGGUGCCCGUACCGAAAACCGACACAGGUGGGUGAGGAGAGAAUCCUAAGGCGCGCGAGAGAACCCUCGUUAAGGAACUCGGCAAAAUAACCCCGUAACUUCGGGAGAAGGGGUGCUCUGAUAGCGUGAGUAUAUAAACAUGUACGAGCGUGAGAGAGCCGCAGUGACCAGGCCCAGGCGACUGUUUAGCAAAAACACAGGUCUCUGCCAAAUCGAAAGAUGAAGUAUAGAGGCUGACGCCUGCCCGGUGCUGGAAGGUUAAGGGGAGAGCUUAGCGGCAACGCGAAGGCUUGAGCCGAAGCCCCAGUGAACGGCGGCCGUAACUAUAACGGUCCUAAGGUAGCGAAAUUCCUUGUCAGGUAAGUUCUGACCCGCACGAAUGGCGUAACGAUUUGGGCACUGUCUCGACAACGCACCCGGUGAAAUUGUAGUACUCGUGAAGAUGCGGGUUACCCGCGACUAGACGGAAAGACCCCAUGGAGCUUUACUGUAGCCUGAUACUGUAUUUCGAUAUUACAUGUACAGGAUAGGAGGGAGGCUGAGAAUCCGGGACGCCAGUUCUGGAGGAGCCAACGUUGGGAUACCUCUCUUGAGAUAUUGGAAUACUAACCAGAGACCAUAAACUGGUCUUGGGACAAUGUCAGGUGGGCAGUUUGACUGGGGCGGUCGCCUCCAAAAGAGUAACGGAGGCGCCCAAAGGUUUCCUCAGCGCGGAUGGAAAUCGCGCGAAGAGUGUAAAGGCAUAAGGGAGCUUGACUGCGAGAGAGACAUCUCGAGCAGGGACGAAAGUCGGGCUUAGUGAUCCGGCGGUACCGAGUGGAAGGGCCGUCGCUCAACGGAUAAAAGCUACCCCGGGGAUAACAGGCUUAUCUCCCCCAAGAGUCCACAUCGACGGGGAGGUUUGGCACCUCGAUGUCGGCUCAUCGCAUCCUGGGGCUGCAGUAAGUCCCAAGGGUUGGACUGUUCGUCCAUUAAAGCGGUACGCGAGCUGGGUUCAGAACGUCGCGAGACAGUUCGGUCCCUAUCUGUCGUGGGCGUAGGAGAUUUGAGGAGUGCUGCUCCUAGUACGAGAGGACCGGAGUGGACAGACCGCUGGUGUACCAGUUGUCCUGCCAAGGGCAGUUCUGGGUAGCCACGUCUGGCAUGGAUAAGCGCUGAAAGCAUCUAAGCGCGAAGCCAUCUCCAAGAUAAGAUCUCCCAUCCCGUUAGGGAGUAAGACCCCAGGUAGACGACCUGGUUGAUAGGCCGGAAGUGUAAGGACAGCAAUGUCUUAAGCGGACCGGUACUAAUAGGUCGAGGGCUUGACCU